rnacentral:rRNA from 1 species
GACGAACGCUGGCGGCGUGCCUAAUACAUGCAAGUCGAACGCAUUUUCUUUCACCGUAGCUUGCUACACCGAAAGAAAAUGAGUGGCGAACGGGUGAGUAACACGUGGGUAACCUGCCCAUCAGCGUGGGAUAACACUUGGAAACAGGUGCUAAUACCGCAUAAUUCCAUUUACUGCAUGGUAGAUGGAUGAAAGGCGCUUUUGCGUCACUGUUGGAUGGACCCGCGGUGCAUUAGCUAGUUGGUGAGGGAACGGCCUACCAAGGCUGCGAUGCAUAGCCGGCCUGAGAGGGUGGUCAGCCACACUGGGACUGAGACACGGCCCAGACUCCUACGGGAAGCAGCAGUAGGGAAUCUUCGGCAAUGGGCGCAAGACUGACCGAGCAACGCCGCGUGAGUGAAGAAGGUUUUCGGAUCGUAAAACUCUGUUGUUAGAAAAGAACAAGGAUGAGAGUGGAAAGUUCAUCCCUUGACGGUAUCUAACCAGAAAGCCACGGCUAACUACGUG